GGUCAGCUGACACAUCCCGGCCAAUCUCCGACAGACCCUCCCUCCCAGACCCUCCUACUUCCUGGACAGCAUCCAUGUUGAAGGCAGCUUCAACAUGGAUGCUGUCCAGGAGGUGGGAGGGUCUGGGAGGGAGGGUCUGCCGGAGAUUGGCCGGGAUGUGUCAGCUGA
rnacentral:miRNA from 1 species